CGCUCCCGGCUGCACGUGCUGCCCCCGCCGCCGCCCUCGCCAGACAAAGCGGGGCCCUCCCGGGCGCGCUUCCUAGGCCCCCUUCCCUCGGCGAACCCUUUGAUUCUUCCCGGCUCCGGUCUUCAUCUCGCACUUGGUCCCACCCCUCUCAACUGCUUCCUGGAGUGCCUCCUUUGUGCUCGCCACCUCAACUUUGGCCUUCCUUCCAAGGCUCUGCCUUUAAAAGCGACUCCAUCUGACCCCUCCCCCACUCGUCUCCUUUGGCAGCUCAGUCCAUUUGUUGUAAGGGCGACCGCUCCCUGCUCUUGGGCAUUUUUCAGCUCCACGCUACCUUUUCUAUUGUCCUCUCCCCUUCUCUCAGAACCUUCUUUCUGUCCUCAGCCCUUUAAAGACUCUUCCAGAAACUCGCCUGGCAUUGUCUCUUUCCCGGGUUGUGGGACAGCUAGAGGGAUUGCAAAUAUCCACCUAGAUUGAGUCCCCUUUGUAUCUCGCUAUCACCACCUUUUCCCCCGUGUCACUCUGAAAUCACAUUAUUGGGCACCAUGGUUGGGGAUACGGGGGUUCUGCUGCUGUUGUUGUGCCCAUUGACCGUCUCCGUUUGUAAAUUCAAGUAAAGGAAGCUACUGGGAACUGGCCAGAGACCCUUGAAAUGCGACUUGAGUAUUAAGCAUUCUCUCUUACCCCAUCUCUGUGACGCCUUGCUUUGUUUUACACACCACAUGCCUCGCCCCAUCUCUGGACACCGCCACCCCCAGCAGCCACAUUGUUCAUCCUUUGGCACCAGCUCUGGAGUAGGAAAGGGCAGGUCCUCCUGUCCAGGAAGGAAGUUCUGGAAAGUCAAGCCCAAGGCCAUCCCCAGAACCGAGGUUCUGCUGCCAUCUCCCAGAACCCUGGCAUGGACUCCCUGCCUGAGCUUGGAGCAGGCAGAGGUUUUGGUGGGCAGAGUUGAAUGUAUGUUGCAAAUGGCUAGAGGUGUUCAGCCACCUUUGAAGGAUGGGACCUGUGGACCUGUGUCGCUUGAGUCAUCUGAGAACCUCUGGAGGCAGGUGGGCGUGGAGUGGGAUUCAUUCUGCCCUGAAUUUGAGAAGAAAAGACUGCUUCUGGGAGUUUUGCUCUUGUUUGCAUUCAGAUCCUCUCAGGGUUCUUUACUUUGAAGAAUGAACAGAAGCCAGGGGCUCAGUUUGACAAGGGCUCUGCAGGGGAAUGGCGGGACGCGGCUGUGAGCUGCGGGAAGCUCUUCUCCUGCCCGGAUGAUGGAUGUGACAGGCCUCUGCGAGAGAGUCAGCCAGAUGCCAGUUGCUUUUCUGGUAUUAGCUCUUGCUGGUGGGGUUCAGCUGGAAAGCCCAGGCAGGUACGAUAUGGACGUCAAAGGAGGGCCAGAGGCAGCUUGUUUGAUUCAGGGUCCUCAAGGCCCUGGACACCUGGGAGGCAGCUCUUGGAGUUCUGCCUGUACAGGACCUGGCUAUAAAGAGGAGACGCUGAGUUGAGGACUGAAGAGCCGAGGUGCCGAUCAAUCCAGAGGAUCUGAUCUUAUGCCUGGUGCAUCUUAUGCCUGGUGCACUAGGCGCAGUGACCAGAGAGAGUCCUUGUGCCCAGUGGGCCUCAUCAAGCUUUGAGAGCUUGGACACGUAACCCGGGCAACUCAGGUCUAGCCAUUCUCGGAUUCUCCAAAGCCACUGGGCCUUCCCUGUGAACCCCCCUGCACUCCCCCUCCCUAGCUGCCAGUCUCUGUGUUCGAUUGUUUGGUUUUAUCUUCAUCCUUGGCUGAGAUGUUCGGGAGCUAGCUGGGCUUAGAGGACUAAAAGGCAAAGAGGCUUACCUUCACUUUCAGGAUCACAUCCAAAUCCUCCCGUAGCAGGUGUUCAAGCCUUUGUGUCUGCUCCCUGCCUGCCUUUCCCACCUUGCUUUUUGACAACAUCCAGCAGAUAUGGCACUUCAGUUGUACUUUUCCAGAACAUGCCGUGCUCUUGUGCUUUUGUGUCUCUGCCCAUGCAGAGCACAUCCUUCCCUUCCCCCAAUCCAGAGAUGCCUGGCUCAUCCUUUGAGGCCUUCCAAGCAGUUUGGGCCUCAUCUGUUCUGGAGAUCCUUUCCUAGCUCUCGAAUCUGGAGUAAAAUGUACCUUCUCUGUUCUCCCAGAGGAGUGUGCAGGUGCCCCUGUCACCAUAUUCAGUAGUGGUAUUUUGUGCCUUUGUCUUCCCAACAAGGAAACAAUUUCUUCUGGGGUUUCCCAAGUUCUCAACAUAGUGCCCGAUAUGGAAUCAGUACUUGUUUAUUUGUUCAGUUGCUAAUCUGUCUAUGUCAUCCCACCCCCAGUAGAAUUUAAGCUUUAUGAGAGCCAGGAUCUUGUCUUUCGUUUAUUGUCCAACUCCAAUGUCUAACAAAGUCUCCAAUAAAUAUUUGUUGAAUGAAUGCAUGGAGUCAUGGGCUGUGAUUCACAUUUUGUUUUCCCCUGGCUGCCCCAGUGACCUCAUGUGAGCUCCUUGGCAUACCUAGCAUGGUGUGGUGGGACUGUGUCCAGCACACCACCCUAAUGCAGUGCUUCUAGUCUUCGCUGCUGGCAUCUUGCUCCUGUGACCAGUUCUCUGCAGGACUCCCAGCCUUGUGCUUGGGCAACUCUCAAGUACAGAGGAGUCAACUGUGGGUAGGUAAGUCUUGGGAAACCCAGAACCAAUGGAUAAAUGCUUUUCUCCUUCUUCCCCUGGUUGAUCAACCUGAGAUCCACUUCAGAGUUUUCCUGUGGCACUGGUUGACCAGCUGACACUUGGUGGUAGACAGCUUCAUAGGAAUCCCUGGAUUGGCUCUCCUCCCCUGCUUCUGCCUCCUGGGAUCACAUCCUCAAAUGUACGACUUGCACAAAAGCCUUUGUCCCAGGCUCUGCUUUGGGGGGAACUCAGGUGAUGAUGACUAGGUUCCCCUCCUGGCUCUGCCACUUCAUAGUCCUGUCUUUGGGUAAAACUCUGUAACCUCAAUGCUUCUGUUUCCUCACCUGAAAAGGGAGUAUGGAAAUACCAUGGCACAGGAUUCUGUGAUGCGGGAUAACGUGGUACGUGGUGGGUGAGCGUGUCGGACUCAGUACCUGCGUGUAUCAUCAGGCUCUCACUAAAGAUUUCUUUUCUUCUUGCCUGUUUUUGUAAAAGGCAGGUCGGGGAAGUCUGCUUGGCCUCCUGGCUGGCAAGGCCUGUUGCUGAGCGUGAUCUCCACUCUGGUGGGAAAACCAGAGCAGAGGAGCAAAGGGUGACUAGGCCAGAUGACUCAGGGAUUUGGCAACUGGAUCAUUCUUCUCUGGAGCAUUCUGUAAACAUUGGUCAAUGGACUCUUGCAACAUGCCUGGCAGGUGGAAGCGGGAAGGAGUGAGGGUGUGGAGGAUGUGGAGGCCGGGAGAGGCCAAACGCGUUGCUCACAGGGGCCGAUGCCGGCGUGUCUGAGAUGCUUUUCCAGAACACCAGCAGGAGGCAUCUUUGUGGAGGGGGCAGGGCUGGUGAUGAGUUCUCAGGUUCUCUUUUUGUCCCCACUUCCUUCCUGUCAACUCUGUAGCCUCUCCCAGAUGGCAUUCUCUUACUGCAGAGAACAAUCCCAGAGUUCUUCAUGCUCCGGUGCCCAAAAUAGCUGAAGGCCCAAAGCAAUGAAAACUUAAGAGAACGGUUUCUGGCCUUACCAUAAGGAUGGGAGAGGGAUCCGGGGGCUGGGCUCCGCCGGGCUCCCCCUGAGCUUAUGCACCAUAUGCCUCCUCAGCCUGCGGGGAAGCAGGGACCAGAGGCCCAAGCCCCCUGGCCCUCUUGCACCUGGCCAGCGAGUCCUGCUCCCUGAGCAUGCUGCACCUGCCUUCAGGCCCCUGUGCCUGGCCAUCGGCUGCACUUGGAGACCUACUGCUCACACACACUGCGCUCCCAGUGACCUCCUUUCCUGCUCCCUCGUCAGCUGCUGGCUGUGGAGGUACUAGCAGAGUGAGCCAAAGAUAUGGGAACUUUCUCUACAGGGAAGUUGCUGCCAGGGGAGGGAAGAGGAAGAGUGAAAACCGGGGAGGAUGCAGGCAGUGAGAACUGCCAGCUAAACUGCCAGGGGAUUUCAUCUGGAGGCUCCUAAUUCCCAAAUUGCUACACUCAUCUGAGGAUGAACAUAGGAAUGGUUACACGGGUCUACGCUGUUUGCACACGCAGAAGCCAGCGUGGGUGGCUGGUCAAACGGGUUCCCAGCCCCAACCCUCCUUUCCAACUUCUGGUCCUGUCUGCACUCCAUUCCCACGUGGCCAUUGGGUUGGAUGAGUCGUCUUUCAUCACAGUGGUUCUCAAAGUGUGGUUCCUGGACCAGCAGCAUCAGCCUCUCUUGGAACUUGAAAUGCAGAUUUCAUAAAUGGAGCCCAGGCCCACGGGAUCCAGCUCUCAGGAUGCAGCCCAGCCAUCUGGGCUUAGCAAGCCCUCUGAGGGAUUCUGAGCCACCAGAUCUGCUAGAGUUUGAGUAAAGAAAUCCUUGUCCAGAGCAGAGAGGCCAAGGCAGAGGUCAGGGCCAGGCUUCCUGGAGAACAAGGCACUGGUGGCACACCCCACCCCAAGCAAUGACGACGAUGGAGCCACCUAGCACCCAGGGUGCUGAGUGGGCACUUUUCACUGACAUUUCUCCUCCCAGGGAAGGGAAACCACAGAGGUAGAAAGGCUUUUCCACCAAGGAUGUGGAGAAACUGGGAGAAAGGGGCAGUGAAAAGAGAAAGAGAAGAAAGGAAAGAAGAGGGGAAAAUGGUUUCCCUCAGAGGCAGCACUAAAGAAAGCAGCUCAGCAUUAAAAGGCAGUGGCAGGUCGGUCAUGGUGGCCCAUGCCUGUAAUCCCAGCUACUCAGGAGGCUGAGGCAGGAGGGUCACAAGUUCAAGGCCAGCCUGGGCAACUUGGCAAGAUCCUGUCUCAAA